rnacentral:rRNA from 1 species
UNUGGCUUAACUGGGGGCUUGCGGUGGGUACGGGCCGGCUUGAGUGCGGUAGGGGAGGCUGGAACUCCUGGUGUAGCGGUGGAAUGCGCAGAUAUCUGGAAGAACACCGGUGGCGAAGGCGGNUCUCUGGGCCGUUACUGACGCUGAGGAGCGAAAGCGUGGGGAGCGAACAGGAUUAGAUACCCUGGUAGUCCACGCCGUAAACGUUGGGCACUAGGUGUGGGGGGCCUUUUCCGGGUUUUCCGCGCCGUAGCUAACGCAUUAAGUGCCCCGCCUGGGGAGUACGGCCGCAAGGCUAAAACUCAAAGGAAUUGACGGGGGCCCGCACAAGCGGCGGAGCAUGCGGAUUAAUUCGAUGCAACGCGAAGAACCUUACCAAGGCUUGACAUGUGCCGGUCGGCUCCGGAGACGGGGUUUCCUCCUUGUGGGGCCGGUUCACAGGUGGUGCAUGGUUGUCGUCAGCUCGUGUCGUGAGAUGUUGGGUUAAGUCCCGCAACGAGCGCAACCCUUGUCUCGUGCUGCCAGCACGUUGUGGUGGGGACUCGCGGGAGACUGCCGGGGUCAACUCGGAGGAAGGUGGGGAUGACGUCAAAUCAUCAUGCCCCUUAUGUCUUGGGCUUCACGCAUGCUACAAUGGCCGGUACAGAGGGCUGCGAUACUGUGAGGUGGAGCGAAUCCCUUAAAGCCGGUCUCAGUUCGGAUCGGUGUCUGCAACUCGACACCGUGAAGUUGGAGUCGCUAGUAAUCGCAGAUCAGCAACGCUGCGGUGAAUACGUUCUCGGGCCUUGUACACACCGCCCGUCACGUCAUGAAAGUCGGCAACACCCGA